UACGUAGGGUGCAAGCGUUGUCCGGAAUUAUUGGGCGUAAAGAGCUCGUAGGCGGUCCGUCGCGUCGGGAGUGAAAACUCGGAGCUUAACUCCGAGCCUGCUUCCGAUACGGGCAGACUAGAGGUAGGCAGGGGAGAGCGGAACUCCUGGUGUAGCGGUGGAAUGCGCAGAUAUCAGGAAGAACACCGGUGGCGAAGGCGGCUCUCUGGGCCUUACCUGACGCUGAGGAGCGAAAGCGUGGGUAGCGAACAGG
rnacentral:rRNA from 1 species